UACGUAGGGAGCAAGCGUUGUCCGGAAUCAUUGGGCGUAAAGCGCGCGUAGGUGGCCCCAUAAGUCCGCUGUGAAAGUCAAAGGCUCGACCUUUGAAAGCCGGUGGAUACUGUGGGACUAGAGUACGGAAGAGGCGAGUGGAGUUCCUGGUGUAGCGGUGGAAUGCGCAGAUAUCAGGAGGAACACCAAUAGCGAAGGCAGCUCGCUGGGACGUUACUGACACUGAGGCGCGAAAGCGUGGGGAGCGAACAGG
rnacentral:rRNA from 1 species